GCAUUUUUAAAAGAACAUGAUAAAUAUAUAGCAGCUCUCCACGGCACAUGCAUUCUCUAAAGCCAUGCCACAAAUUUAAUUUACAGAUUUUGCAUCAAAACUAUAGGAGCAGUGGUAUAGUACUCUAAGUUCCAACAAUGGCUUCAAUCUGAGGUCAAGCUCAAUUGUGUACUUGUUGAGAUAACCAUUCAGCCCAUCUAUUCCAUGUACCUGGAAAUUAAAGGAUGUAACAAUAGUUAGCAC
rnacentral:lncRNA from 1 species